rnacentral:rRNA from 1 species
GAUGAACGCUGGCGGCGUGCCUAAUACAUGCAAGUCGAGCGAAUGGAUUAAGAGCUUGCUCUUAUGAAGUUAGCGGCGGACGGGUGAGUAACACGUGGGUAACCUGCCCAUAAGACUGGGAUAACUCCGGGAAACCGGGGCUAAUACCGGAUAACAUUUUGAACCGCAUGGUUAGAAAUUGAAAGGCGGCUUCGGCUGUCACUUAGGGAUGGACCCGCUUCGCAUUAGCUAGUUGGUGAGGUAACGGCUCACCAAGGCAACGAUGCGUAGCCGACCUGAGAGGGUGAUCGGCCACACUGGGACUGAGACACGGCCCCGACUCCUACGGGAGGCAGCAGUAGGGAAUCUUCCGCAAUGGACGAAAGUCUGACGGAGCAGCGCCGCGUGAGUGAUGAAGGCUUUCGGGUCGUAGAACUCUGUUGUUAGGGAAGAACAAGUGCUAGUUGAAUAAGCUGGCACCUUGACGGUACCUAACCAGAAAGCCACGGCUAACUACGUGCCAGCAGCCGCCGCAG